UGAGGAAUAUUGGUCAAUGGGCGAGAGCCUGAACCAGCCAAGUAGCGUGCAGGAUGACGGCCCUAUGGGUUGUAAACUGCUUUUAUAUGGGAAUAAAGUGAGGGACGUGUCCCUUAUUGCAUGUACCAUAUGAAUAAGGACCGGCUAAUUCCGUGCCAGCAGCCGCGGUAAUACGGAAGGUCCAGGCGUUAUCCGGAUUUAUUGGGUUUAAAGGGAGCGUAGGCUGUUUGUUAAGCGUGUUGUGAAAUGUAAGAGCUCAACUUUUAGAUUGCAGCGCGAACUGGCAGACUUGAGUGCGCACAACGUAGGCGGAAUUCAAGGUGUAGCGGUGAAAUGCUUAGAUAUCAUGACGAACUCCGAUUGCGAAGGCAGCUUACGGGAGCGCAACUGACGCUAAAGCUCGAAGGUGCGGGUAUCGAACAGG
rnacentral:rRNA from 1 species